ensembl:rRNA 5S_rRNA 5S ribosomal RNA
GCUUGCGAGCUCACCACCCCGAGCAUGCCCUAUCUCAUGUGAUCUCCGAAGCUAAGCAGAGUGGGGCCUUGUUAGUACUUGGACCGCCUGGGAAUACUAGGUUCUAUAGGCU